UUAGAUGACAUAUGUUUGAAUGGUGCCACAUUGUUUAUAUCGUUUGAAAUUCUAGGGUUUUUCCUGGGCUAUAAAUAGGUUUGCCAUUGGGUUUUUUAUGAUUGUGUGAGCUUUGCUGCUGUUUAGAAGGAAGCAUAUUGUCAAUCUUCGUUCAAUUCUUGCGAAGGUAAUGUCUCUUUCAAGUUCUUCUGCUACUGAUGAAUUUUCAAGCGCGGGUGGUGAAUCAACUGGCCGAGUGGUUCGAGAAGAAGUUCCUCCUGAGUCAAAAUCUUCUUCUGCUACUCCAUCUUGUAUGAAUGAUUCAAGUGGAGCUCCUGCUGUUGAUGUUCCACAAGAAUUUGGAUUUGUCGUACCCCAGAAAAACCUUCGUCCUGGUUAUCAAUGGGUCAAUCCUAAAGUCCGAGAGUAUUUCUCGAAGUAUCGUUCUGCUAACGAACUUCGGAGUUUU
rnacentral:lncRNA from 1 species